UGCAACCGCUCCUCCCUAUAAAAUCGAGCAGCCACCAUUUUUUUUCGAACCCUAGCAUUCCUACUUCCUCCCGGUACCCGCCGCCACUUCCUCUCUUCCUCCACCUUCGUCGCGUCGACCGCUGCUCCGGCCGGCCGUCCGUCAAGUUCUCCGGCGCUGCUCUUCGUCGACCUUGUCUGCGCCGCCAAGCUCUGCGAAUGCCGGCGUCCGCUCGCCCAAGAUCCUCCCGACGUGCUCGACCGUGUCCGCGUCCUGCACGACGUCCCAGUCUCGGCGCCUCGCCAAGAGCUCCGUCUUCCUCGCCGGCCGUCGGGCCAGCACGUUCUCGUCAUCAACGACCUGUGCCGCGUCCGCAUGUCGCCGUCGUUGUCCGUCUCCGCCGUGCGCUGUUGCGCGCCUCUACUUGCCUCCCGCCGUCGUCCUCCGCGUGCAUGGCCAGCGUCGGCUACUUCUGCAAGCCUCCGCCUUGCGCCGCACCUUCUCCAACCAUCCUGUGCAUGCCGCUCGUCGACCCAGACCCCAGACGUCCGCGCGUGGGGCGCAGUUCUGCCCCGUCCCGGUCUCCUUCGACGUCUGCAUCCGCGUCCUCGUCGCCAGCUCCCUGGUGAGACUCAUGCUCCAACCGCUCCGCCCAUCUCCGCCUCCGGCCGUUUUCCGCCUCCGUCAAGAACGUCAUCCGCCGGCAGGGCUUGUCUCCGUUCUUCUGGUCUCUGUCGCGUCGCCACCCAGUGCACCGUCCGCGUUCGUCUCAACUUUGUCUGCACUCUGCAAGCACCCCGGACUCUGCUUCACCCGCAUCGGCCACGUCCGGCUCCAACCGUGACCACGCCACGGCAAAGCGCGCACCCGCCGUCGACGCCUCUGGCCGGCCGGCUCCCUCAGCUUCCGUCCACCUCCACUUAUCAGUGUCGCGUGUAGCAGCAGGCAAAGGAGCUGCUUUGUCUCGGUUCAGUUUGGUGCAGUACACGACCACAUGAUCUGAAGCUAGCCCAGCUGGUUCGUUCCUUGUACUGCAUCCCUGUGAUCCUGUGUUCAAUUCCAGAGCCAUGCAAAGCCAUCCUUUUUCUCUUUAUUUUAUUCAUUUCUUCCUGGUCCCAUCUGUCAUUGACUAGGGCGGGUUCCUCCCAGGUGAAAAACGUCCAAACAACCCGACAUCCAGUCAGCACGGUGUCAGCAUCUACGGCCCCGCGCGUCAGCCCCUGUGGUGUUCCCUUCUUUGCAUUUGCUUCUUCACGGAUAGGAUCGCGAAGUGGUGUGGUGAGAUACGACAAGUCCUCCGGAUGUUCCUCGGCAAGCUUUAACAGGCAAGCAUUUCCCCUAUACUCCUGCCCCUGCAGAAGUCGCUCACCUAUUUUAUUUUUGCCUUCUCCCUCAUGCUAUCCUUAAGUUGCGUUCUUGUCACGUGUCCCUUCCACUUGUUACCUCAAGCAGCCUAUAUUGCCACCAUCACCUCCUACAACUAUUGUUUGGUUAUCGGGUCUGCCUUGCGAGUCGUAGUGCACGCUAGUGCUUUUAUAUCUCGUUACCGUUAAUGCUAUCUUAUCGGUUUAUCUGUUGGGUAAUCAUGACACAUGGUUUAUGGUUAUAUAUAUUGGAAGUAUCAUGGUUACUUGUUAAUAAUUGUUAAGCGGAGGCAUCGGUGGGUCAGCUGAUCAUUUUGUGACGGCUCACUUGUGUUUCUUUAAAGCUUAGGACCCCGAGUUCUUGUUAUCUGUUCCGAGACUGAGCGCUCUAACCACACGUGGGUAUGUUUCUGGGUCUCCCCUCGAUCACUGCCGGAAUCUACAGCUUUGUCCAGUGGCCACAACUAGUUUGCAAUAUUUUACCAUUUGUCGUUCGCGUGCAUGCCAGCCUGUUACUUAUUUACUUUGGGAAGCCCUUGGGUGCCUUGUAUCCCUUGUUUCUGUUACUUAUUUACUUUGGAAAGCCCUUGGGUGCCUUGUAUCCCUUGUUUCUGGUAUGCACGUAUAGGUCGCGGAGCCUCUGUGAAGUGGUUUAUCGCCCCAGUGUGUGUUUAAACCACCUAGCACGCUGGCGCACAUAGCUAAGUCCGCUUCGGAGAUACGGCCGUACGGGUUCAACUUGGUUAGGUGGCUUCCUGGACAUUGUUGUCGUGAAGGAGAGUGCGAGUCGUGAUUUCCACCUGUCGCAAGUGGUUUGAUCGUGCGUGUGGGCACAUUUGGGCACCCCUGCAGGGUAAAAUCUUAUCGAUAAGCCGCGUCCGCGGUUAUGGACGACUUGGAGCUGUAUGACUCGACCAUAGACAACUUGCACCUAUUGUUUCAUUACUAAUAACUUGUGUAGUAAGAUAGAACAACUUAAAUAAUAACUGGUUAAAACUUGUCAACCGUGUGAGUGCCUUUGUAAGUACUUCCUUGCGAGGGGGGAACGCAUCGGCUGUGUUAUGUUUGUAGAGUAUAGAAAUGUUAGUUUAUGCGCUCUCUCACCUUCUCUGAUAGACGAAUAUUGUAGAGUGUCUCUAUAAGUUUUUAGUGCUUGCGCGCUGCCGCUUAACCCCACCAUAUUGCCUAUGACGUUCUUCUUGCGUCCUCUAAGUCCCCUGCGUGCCUCAAGUACAAAGGACGACUGGUUGACGAAUGCUUAUACGUCUUGAAGUCUUGUUAAGUACGAACCCGUACUUAUUGCUGCUUCUACGGGACAUAACCGGGCAGGUAUGAAGAUAUGUUCGAUGAAGACGACGCUAGCAAGGUUACCCUUCCGGCUUGGCCUGGGCAGGGUUAUGGACACCAUCGUUAUCUUCAGGACUCUUAGUCCAAAUUUGUAUCUUGUCCGUACUCGGACGUAUUCGAUCUUCUGUAUGAUUUGGAUCUUUGUAUGUAUCUAUUUGCAUCUUGACUCGUUGGAGUCGUUGUUGUAAUAUAUCUGUUUCUUGUGGGCUCUAUUGUAAUCCGCUUGUAAUGAUUACUACUCGUGAUUGAUUCCACCCGCAUCGCGUGCAUGCUUCGGCGUGUACGAGGCGCUUGGUGGUGCGUCUCCUAGAAUCGAUAUCGUGCGGAUUUCGGCGGGUUCGCUGAGAUCCUCAUGGUACCGGUUUUGGGGCGUC